rnacentral:lncRNA from 1 species
CCGUUUCCGUUUCUCUCUCUUCGAUUAGCCGACAAAGUUCACAGAAUCAAAGAACAUCCACGCUUUAAAAAAAAUAAAUUAAAAUUAAAUUAAAUUAUUUUUAUUUUAUAUAAAAAAAAUUUUAAAAAUAUCAAACGACGAAUUCUCACUUAAAGUGUCUGCUCCGUUGCCGUACUCACUAAUUUCUCUCUCUCUCUCUCUCUCUCAGUCUCUCAAUCACUCUCUUAGCUUUGAUUCCUGUCUAUAGGAGCUAGAAAGCUAGUGCUUGCUUGGCUUUUUACUGUAAUGUGAAACCCUAGCUAAGCAUUUUUGGUUAGGGCGGGGUGUUCGUUUUUUUUUAGGUGGUGGUUGGUUUCGACGAGAUCCGGAGGGAGGGAGGG